GAGAUAUAUUAGCUAGGGAAUAGAUGAAAAAACAUGAUGUCCAAGAAGUUUGUGAAGAUUCAGAAAAACCAAUGGAGGAUGCAGAUCAUGAAAUUUGUUCGAGGAUGUUGCUGCAAAUGAAGUGGCAUCUCAAAUAUGUAUCUUUGCUCUAACUGGGACUACCAAUUCCUCAACCAACAAAACUAUGAUGGUGCUGGGCGCUUACAAAAGAAGAACCCCACGACCAUGAAUUUUAAUUGAUUCAGGAAGCAUCCAUAACUUUUUGGAUGUAACAGUAACUAAAAGUUUGGGAUUCUCCCUAUCUGCUAUACUUCCAAUAAUAGAAGUAGUAGCCAGUUGAGAAGAAUUAUGUAUGUCACAGUCUGCUGAAAUUUUAACUGGCACAUGCAGGGCAAAGAAUUUGCCACUGCUUAAAAUUAUUGAUA
rnacentral:misc_RNA from 1 species